rnacentral:rRNA from 1 species
CAUGCAAGUCGAACGAUGAACCACUUCGGUGGGGAUUAGUGGCGAACGGGUGAGUAACACGUGGGCAAUCUGCCCUGCACUCUGGGACAAGCCCUGGAAACGGGGUCUAAUACCGGAUAACACUCCUCCACUCCUGUGGGGGAGUUAAAAGCUCCGGCGGUGCAGGAUGAGCCCGCGGCCUAUCAGCUUGUUGGUGAGGUAAUGGCUCACCAAGGCGACGACGGGUAGCCGGCCUGAGAGGGCGACCGGCCACACUGGGACUGAGACACGGCCCAGACUCCUACGGGAGGCAGCAGUGGGGAAUAUUGCACAAUGGGCGAAAGCCUGAUGCAGCGACGCCGCGUGAGGGAUGACGGCCUUCGGGUUGUAAACCUCUUUCAGCAGGGAAGAAGCGAAAGUGACGGUACCUGCAGAAGAAGCGCCGGCUAACUACGUGCCAGCAGCCGCGGUAAUACGUAGGGCGCAAGCGUUGUCCGGAAUUAUUGGGCGUAAAGAGCUCGUAGGCGGCUUGUCACGUCGGGUGUGAAAGCCCGGGGCUUAACCCCGGGUCUGCAUUCGAUACGGGCUAGCUAGAGUGUGGUAGGGGAGAUCGGAAUUCCUGGUGUAGCGGUGAAAUGCGCAGAUAUCAGGAGGAACACCGGUGGCGAAGGCGGAUCUCUGGGCCAUUACUGACGCUGAGGAGCGAAAGCGUGGGGAGCGAACAGGAUUAGAUACCCUGGUAGUCCACGCCGUAAACGGUGGGAACUAGGUGUUGGCGACAUUCCACGUCGUCGGUGCCGCAGCUAACGCAUUAAGUUCCCCGCCUGGGGAGUACGGCCGCAAGGCUAAAACUCAAAGGAA